CCACGUGAAUGGCACAAAGAGGAGACAUUCCCAGGAGUAAAGAGGCUAUUUUAGCACUAUGCAGUUGCCGCUCUGCGAGUGGCUAGUGGGAACACAGAGAAGGAUCUUAGCCCAGGCCUGGCAGGUUAGGGAAGGCUUCCUGGAAGACCUGGAAGGUGACCUCUAAGCUAGGUAAGUGGGAUUUAGUCAGGAUCUGAGAAGGAAAAGUAGAGAAGGCUGUUCAGAGAAUGGCCCAGGCAAAGAUCUCAAGGCAAGACCCAGACCAGCUGUGCUGACCUUGGGCAAGUGACAUCGCUCUCUGAGCCUCAGUUUCCUCAUGUGUAAAUGGGAAGCCUAACACCAUUCUCUGGAGUUGGGACUAAUAAGCUCCUGUCUGCAACAGUGCCUGGCGGGUGUGGGUGGGGGGGCAGCUUGGUGUGUGUGUGUGUGUGUGUGUGUGUGUGUGUGUGUGUGAAUCCAUUCAUUAGCUCUGGGUGUGGGGCCCUUUGUGGGCAGGUAGUGGUCCACCGGCUGGUUCCUUCACACCUGCAGGUCUCAGCUUAGACAUCACGGGGACAUCGCUAGAGAAACCUUCCAGUUCAAAGGCUUUCAUGCUUGUGCUGAAAGCAUCCACAAAACCAGGGUGGAAUCCCAGCCACCCUGUUCUCUAAGGCUCCUCCGACCAGGCUUUUGACGUUGGGAAGGGAGGGGCUUAGGCCUGGAGCCCUCGCUCUGUCCCCAGCCUCUCCCGGACAUUAAGUCCCAGGGCUGGAAUGGCAGUUCCUCCCCCUCUGUGCCUCACUCAUCCCUGCUGCCCCGCUCCAUGCCGCCGAGGAGCAGACUGACCACUGGGGGGAUGGGCGGGGCCUGGCCAGGCGGCCCCUCACCAGCCCUGGGGUCAUGUCUUGGCAUCAGCCCGGCGGAAAGACUCACCCCCACUUCCCAGGCCGCCGUUGACUCCCUCCCAGCCUCCCGUGGCAGACUCUAAGAUGAGGACGCCUCUCACCACCUGACGUGUCUUCCCACUUACUCAGCAGCCAGCUCGUUCACUGUCCCUCGCCACACCGGAACAGGGCUCCGCGAGCGCAGGCGCCUUCCUGCCUGUCCUGCUGCUGUCCCCAGCACGUGGCGGGGCUCUGGCCAGGAGGCAUCGGUUGAAUGAAGGACUGGCCGUCAUUGUCAAUAUGCCAUGUGAGGUGACUUAGAGCCACUCAAGCAGACCCCACCAGCUGGCCUUCGCUGCCCUUCCAGCCUGUCUCCCUACACGGGAGUCUUGCUUUGUUACCUGGGCUAGAGUGCAGUGGC